CACACUCUCCUCCUCCUCUCCCCCACGAGCUGCUGCUGCUCCUUGCUCCCAUGGCCGGCCAUGGCCAUGGAAAUCCACCAAGAUGAAGCUUCCCUCCUCGAUCCCUCAAGCUUCCCCUCACCAUGAGAGCUUCCCUCUCACUCUCUUCUCCCCUAAUCCUAGAUGAAUCCAGCUCUAUUUCUCCUUUCUCCUCUCACAAGAUUGGAUCUUGAUGCAGGUGCAUGUUGGUCCAAGCAUGGAGAAGGUUGAGCUAUCCUCAGAUCUGAAGUUCUUGAGCAAAAUCCAAAUCGAGUGAUUCAAAGUUCCACAGAUAGGUAUUGAAAAGAUCUACAACUUGGCGUUGGUCUCAUCCUCAAAUUCACUACGGAUUUUGCAUGGUAAAUAAAGUUCUGUAAACAUGCAGAAUCACUGUUUGUUAGAUUUAUCCCGUUUUACAAAACCUUUUUGAGCAAACUCAACUGUGGGUGAAAGCCCUCUUCAGUACCUUCAUUUUGGCGUUGGUUUCACUUCGAUUGACCUCCUGAAACUGAAAUGGUUCACAGAUCAAGAUCUGGUCAGAUCUGACUUUGUCGAAUUAAACCAGGAGCUUGGAGACGAAUUUUUGAAUGAACCCAAUUGAAUGCGAACAUUUCCGGGAAAGAAGAAGAAGUGGUUCGGACGAGGAUCUUAUUGAUAUUGUUGGAAUUCUUUUUGAUGGAGUUGACGAAGUCCAGGGACAAACCAGCCAACCAAGGCAAGCCAUCUUUUGAUCUCUUGCUAUUUAUCCUUCUUGUUGUGCUCAUUGCUCCAUUAUAUACUUGGUUCCUUGUAUCAUGUGUGAUUUUUGGUCCUCUACUCUAUGCAUACUUAUUCCCAAGUAUGUUGAACCCCUUGUUGAUGCUAUGCAUACUUACUCCCAAGUAUGUUGAACACCUUGUUGAUGUUACGCAUGCUUACCCUAAGCAUGUAUGCCCCCUUGACCACUUAUAUUGUCACCUUCUUAGUGGUAUGAUGAUUAACAUCAUGACCCUUGUUGAAUCAUCUUAUUUAUG